rnacentral:rRNA from 1 species
CCCGCUGAACUUAAGCAUAUCAAUAAGCGGAGGAAAAGAAACUAACAAGGAUUCCCCUAGUAACUGCGAGUGAAGCGGGAAAAGCUCAAAUUUAAAAUCUGGCGGUCCUUGUGGCUGUCCGAGUUGUUAUCUAGAUUAAUUUCAUCCAGUCGGGCGUGUCUGCGAGUAGAGUGGAUUGGAAGUGCAGAUCAGAAGUGGGUGGUAUUCCACAUCUCAGGCUAAAUAUGACCAGGAGUUCGAUUGCGAACACAGUACCGUGAGGGAAAGUUGCAAAGAACUUUGAAGAGAGAGUUCAAGAGAAUGUGAAACCACGUGGGACUAAGCGGAGAGAGUCGACGAAACUGACAGUGUGCAGUGUUCGUGAUCGGGUUUCGACUUGUGAUCGAGCACGCACUCAUAGUCGGUACGUGCUGGGACGUUUGGCGAGCCCAUCUGAUGUAGCAUGAGUUGCCCAAGCUUCGGCCUGGUAGUAUUCUGCUUUCGGAGGUUGAUGUGCUUGCUAAUCGUAGAGUCGGCCGUGCCUCUGCGCGUGUUGUCGUAGGUUUGCGCUCUGCUCGGUGGUCGGACAUGUGGUGCUGCAUUGUACGUGUGUAGAUCUGCGGCAGCAUGCCUAUGGUCCAAUCCCGGUAUGUGAAAGUCGACGACCUAUCCGACCCGUCUUGAAACACGG